GGGGUUGUGGCUCAGUGGUAGAGUACUCACCUAGCAUGUGUGAGGCACUGGGUUCAAUUCCCAGCACCACA
rnacentral:tRNA from 1 species